rnacentral:rRNA from 1 species
UACGUAGGGUGCAAGCGUUGUCCGGAAUUAUUGGGCGUAAAGAGCUCGUAGGCGGUCUGUCGCGUCUGCUGUGAAAACCUGGGGCUUAACCCCGGGCCUGCAGUGGGUACGGGCAGACUAGAGUGUGGUAGGGGAGACUGGAAUUCCUGGUGUAGCGGUGAAAUGCGUAGAGAUCAGCAGGAACACCCGUGGCGAAGGCGGCUUCCUGGGCCGCGCCUGACGCUGAGACGCGAAAGCGUGGGGAGCGAACGGG